rfam:Mastigocoleus testarum BC008 Contig-43, whole genome shotgun sequence.
AGGAGCGGUGUAAAGCGAAAGUUUUACGCACCGUUCUGGAGACCAGUGAGGGAAGGUGACUUCCCCACUGAGUUUAAC